UGGCGAAGAAUGCUCCGCCUAUCGUGGAU
rnacentral:sRNA from 1 species